rnacentral:rRNA from 1 species
UACGGAGGAGGCAAGCGUUAUCCGGCAUUAUUGGGCGUAAAGCGUCCGCAGGUGGCGAUUCAAGUCUGCGGUCAAAGACUGGGGCUUAACCCUGGAAAGGCCGUGGAAACUGAAUAGCUAGAGUGCAGUAGGGGUAGAGGGAAUUCCCGGUGUAGCGGUGAAAUGCGUAGAGCUCGGGAAGAACAUCGGUGGCGAAAGCGCUCUGCUGGACUGCAACUGACACUCAGGGACGAAAGCUAGGGGAGCGAAUGGG